AAAUUUGCCCCCCCCCCCCCUAAGAAAUCCUGGAUCCGCUCCUGGUUGCCAUGACACAACAACAUCUACUAGGGUACAGUAGAUAGAUAGAAUUUUUUAUUGAUCCAUAUUCAAAACAUAGAAAAUUGGCCUCCACUGGCAGCACGUAAGCAAAAUGCAACGUAGUUACAAGAUAAUUAAUAAACACUUAGGUGUUUACGUCACAUAAUGUACAAAUUCACACGAGAGUCAUGACAUUAAAAAGUUACGUAAUAAUAGGGAAAACCUAAGAAAGGAGUCGACAUUUAAAGAUUGAGAAGAGAGAAAGAGGUCGAAAGGAGACCAGAUUGAAGAGCGAAAUAGUAAGAAGAGAGAGAGGGGAGAGAGAGAAAUGGAGGGGAGAGAUUUAGAGAGAGAGAGAGAGAAGGGGGGGAGAAAGAACAAUACUGGACACGGUGGAGGAGGGAAAGGAGAGGGGAGGAUAUAAAUAGAGGGAGGGGGAUAGAAAAAGGAAAAGGAAGGGGGACAAAUUGUAAGCGACACAUAUAGAUAAAUUGUUUACUGUGUAUUUAAAAAGUAAUAUUAUAGUUAUUGUUUUGUUACUUUGUUUAAUUGAACUCAAGAUCAAUCCAAAAAUUAAAAUUUCGUGCACAUAUUAUUAAGUGCUUUUCAUUUUUCUUAUAAAGUUGUUCUUAAACCACCGUGUAUAAUUCUGCUGCAAUAACAUAAUUUAGCUCAACUUUAAUUUAAAAUGUAAUGUGGAAACUCAACCGUUAUAAGACUUUGUGUAUGCUCAUAGGCAUUAUACAUCACCUCAUAUGAAAUGCUUUAAUGAUAUAUUUUUAAUGUAAUAAUUCCAUUCAACAUAAUUUGACCUUACCUGUCACACAACUGACACACCUGCAUGUAUACUUUUUCAGUCUAUCGAUCUCAUUUUAACAAUUGCAAUAUAAUAGUUUCCCCUCUCUCUCUCUCUCUAUAUAUAUGUAUAUAUUUUUGUUUUAAUGAUUUGUUGGUAUUUAAAGAUUAUUUUUACUUGCAAUAAUUGGUUCAAUAUUUCAAGUAACUGUUAUAGGUUGUUCAUCCAUCUAUUAUCAUUUAUUUAUAUAUGUAUAUAACUUUCGGUAUGAACAAUAAUGUUAACUUUAUCUUUUAUCAUUUUUAUUGUACAUUUAUAUGAUCAUUCCUGUUUUAUGCACAUUUUAUGUAAACAUGGCAUUAUUGGUCCCUGGACUACUGCAUUGUACAUUGUAUAUGUUGAUAUUAAUAAACCGAAAUUGAAUUAAAUUGAA